GAGUUUGAUCUUGGCUCAGGAUGAACGCUGGCGGCAUGCCUAAGACAUGCAAGUCGAACGAAGUGGCCCAAUGAAGAUGGAGUGCUUGCACAAAGUCAGAUUUGGAUUCCCACUUAGUGGCGCAAGGGUGAGUAACACGUGGGUAAUCUGCCUUCGAGACUGGAAUAACAGUUAGAAAUGAUUGCUAAUGCCGGAUGAUAUACACGAGGUAAACUUGUGUAUUAAAAGAGGCCUUUAAAGCCUCACUUGAAGAUGAGCCCGCGCCGUAUUAGCUAGUUGGUAAGUAAUGGCUUACCAAGGCAACGAUG
rnacentral:rRNA from 1 species